CGGAGGCGCCCAAAGGUUCCCUCGGCUUGGUUGGUAAUCAGGUUUGUAGAGUGUAAGUGCAGUAAGGGAGCUUGACUGUGACACUGACGGGUGGAGCAGGUGCGAAAGCAGGGACUAGUGAUCCGGCAUCAACGUGUGGGUGUGGUGUCGCUCAACGGAUAAAAGGUACCCCGGGGAUAACAGGCUGAUCUUCCCCAAGAGUCCAUAUCGACGGGAUGGUUUGGCACCUCGAUGUCGGCUCGUCGCAUCCCGG
rnacentral:rRNA from 14 species